rnacentral:rRNA from 1 species
AUUGAACGCUGGCGGCAUGCCUUACACAUGCAAGUCGAACGGCAGCACGGGAGCAAUCCUGGUGGCGAGUGGCGAACGGGUGAGUAAAGUAUCGGAACGUGCCCAGUCGUGGGGGAUAACGUAGCGAAAGUUACGCUAAUACCGCAUACGAUCUAUGGAUGAAAGCGGGGGAUCGCAAGACCUCGCGCGAUUGGAGCGGCCGAUAUCAGAUUAGGUAGUUGGUGGGGUAAAGGCUCACCAAGCCGACGAUCUGUAGCUGGUCUGAGAGGACGACCAGCCACACGGGAACUGAGACACGGUCCCGACUCCUACGGGAGGCAGCAGUGGGGAAUUUUCCGCAAUGGGCGAAAGCCUGACGGAGUGACGCCGCGUGGGGGACGAAGGCCUUCGGGUCGUAAACCCCUGUCAGAGGGAAAGAAGGGUCGCCGACCUAAUACGUCGGUGAUCUGACGGUACCUUCAGAGGAAGCCCCGGCCGACUCUGUGCCAGCCGCCGCCGUAAUAC